rnacentral:rRNA from 1 species
ACAUGCAAGUCGAACGAACUUAACCAUUAGUUUACUAUUGGAGCGGUUAGUGGCGGACUGGUGAGUAACACGUAAGCAACCUGCCUAUCAGAGGGGAACAACAGUUAGAAAUGACUGCUAAUACCGCAUAUGCCUUAGAAUCACAUGGUUCAAAAGGGAAAGGAGCAAUCCGCUGAUAGAUGGGCUUGCGUCUGAUUAGCUAGUUGGUGGGGUAACGGCCUACCAAGGCGACGAUCAGUAGCCGAACUGAGAGGUUGAACGGCCACAUUGGGACUGAGAUACGGCCCAGACUCCUACGGGAGGCAGCAGUCGGGAAUAUUGCGCAAUGGAGGAAACUCUGACGCAGUGACGCCGCGUGCAGGAAGAAGGUUUUCGGAUUGUAAACUGCUUUAGACAGGGAAGAACAAAGACAGUACCUGUAGAAUAAGCUCCGGCUAACUACGUGCCAGCAGCCGCGGUAAUACGUAGGGAGCGAGCGUUAUCCGGAUUUAUUGGGUGUAAAGGGUGCGUAGACGGGAAGUCAAGUUAGUUGUGAAAUCCCUCGGCUUAACUGAGGAACUGCAACUAAAACUGAUUUUCUUGAGUACUGGAGAGGAAGGUGGAAUUCCUAGUGUAGCGGUGAAAUGCGUAGAUAUUAGGAGGAACACCGGUGGCGAAGGCGACUUUCUGGACAGAAACUGACGUUGAGGCACGAAAGUGUGGGGAGCAAACAGGAUUAGAUACCCUGGUAGUCCACACCGUAAACGAUGGAUACUAGGUGUAGGGAAUAUUAAAAUUCUCUGUGCCGCCGCUAACGCAAUAAGUAUCCCACCUGGGG